GAUGAACGCUGGCGGCGUGCCUAAUACAUGCAAGUCGAGCGAACAGACGAGGAGCUUGCUCCUCUGACGUUAGCGGCGGACGGGUGAGUAACACGUGGAUAACCUACCUAUAAGACUGGGAUAACUUCGGGAAACCGGAGCUAAUACCGGAUAAUAUAUUGAACCGCAUGGUUCAAUAGUGAAAGACGGUUUUGCUGUCACUUAUAGAUGGAUCCGCGCCGCAUUAGCUAGUUGGUAAGGUAACGGCUUACCAAGGCAACGAUGCGUAGCCGACCUGAGAGGGGGAUCGGCCACACUGGAACUGAGACACGGUCCAGACGCCUACGGGAGGGAGCAGUAGAGAAUCUUCCGCAAUGGGCGAAAGCCUGACGGAGCAACGCCGCGUGAGUGAUGAAGGUCUUCGGAUCGUAAAACUCUGUUAUUAGGGAAGAACAAAUGUGUAAGUAACUAUGCACGUCUUGACGGUACCUAAUCAGAAAGCCACGGCUAACUACGUG
rnacentral:rRNA from 1 species